AAACUCCGUUCUGUCAAAAGGCACAGAAUCGCAGAAUUUUAGGGCUGGAAGGGCUGUGGGAGAUCACCUGGCACAACCCCCGUCCUGUGGACAAGAAGUCGGGAGCCUCAACAGAGGCGAUGAGGACGCAUCGCGUGCCUGUUUGGUGAAUCUAUGACCGUGAGCGUGCAUCCACAAAUCUGGAAACAAAAUGAGUGACCCAGGGAGAUGUCUACGAUAUUUACUAAGGUCCCAGCACCAAAAGUCACUUAAGUAUCGGACGAAGAGUCCUCGGAAGAAGUCUAUGAGCAGAAUGCUGGCCACGGUGAAGAGCAUAUCGAUGAUGGAAAGCUUCAGCAUCUCCUGAAACACAGGGGACCCUUGGGUGCCCCACGCCCUGCCCUCCCGCUGCCCCCUUGUCCUUCAGGAGCCCCCACUCUCUGUUCAUUCCUGUGGGCUUGGGCCACUGGGCCCCCUCCAAUGGCAUCUUCAUUUCUGGCACUGAAAGGGUGCUCAGAAAAUAUUUGUGAAUUUGAAUUUGGAUUUUGGUCUCCGGGGCCAGCAUGACGUGAGACCAGGGAAGACUCUGGGGUCUGUGGUUCUGAGCCACAGGAGGCUGUUCGAGGCCCGUGAUUCAGUCUCACUGGGAGAACACCUCGGAGUCGGGAUUCUCUGUCCAGAUCACGUCUGGAAAGGGGAAGGCAGAGGGGCUCAGGGCACAGGCGGGAGCAGACGGCGGGGCUCAGACCCUUAUUCUCAUCUUCGCUACCUGUAUCCUUGGGCAAGGGACCUGACUCCCCGUGCCUUGGUUUCCCUGUCUGUGCCUAUGAGGCUGAUCAGGACAGGAUUUUUCUGAGGACCGAGCACUUAGAUUGGCGCCCAGCACACAAACACUGCAUGAGACUUCGCACUGAUUAUAACUAUUAAUUUGAGACCUGCGAAGCCAUGAACCCUCACUGACCCUUAUUUUCCUUUUUUUAUAAAGUGGGUGAUGACAGUGCAGAGUUAAGUGAUGACACGGAUGCAAAGGGUUCCGUGAGGGGGGAAGGGAGCCACCUGCCCCACGUAUGUCUCCCAGCACUGGUCCUGCAGACCCUGCGGGUAGACGGCAGUCCUGUUGGCCUCUGAGAGAGGCGAGGUGGCCGUGGGGGCGCCAGCCCCUCCUGGGGCCCACGUGCUGUUCCUCCCGGGCUCUCCCCCAGGCCCAGGUGUGGACCAUUUCUGUUCCAUAGGGACCGUCCUGGUGGAAGCGAAGACUGUAGGAUCUAUCCAGGGACUUGUGCUGUUUUUUGUGGCAGCUUCCUGUGGGGAGAGGGAGGAAGGAAAACAAAAAGGUUUUCCAUGUAUUUGUAAGUAAGAAUUUAUCAUGGACCAAGAGUGUCCCCGCCGUGUUUGGGAAUAAUCUCCCUGUCUUGCUGUAUCGCCGUCUCCUCUCUCUCUAGCUCGUGGAUUCUUCCUCGACGGAAGCUGGCCCCAGGAACGAAGUCAGGAUGUAACGGGCAGCACCGAGUGGUCCCUGCCAAGUGCCAGAGGCUGUUCCAGGUUAAGCCAUGUUUUGUCUUCCCAUCCUCACCAGAGCGUUGGUUUGCUGAGUGAGGCUCACAGCCUCUCUCCCCUGGAUUAUGGGCAGCAGCUGGUAACAGCUUUUCCUGAUGAAAUUCAAGUAAAUGGGGCAGUUCUGUGGAAAGAGACUUGGAGUCUGAAGACCCCAGCACUGGCCUCUACUCGCCAUAAACCCUGGCCUCAGUUCCUCUGCCGGGAAAUGGGGUCAUUUGUCUCUCCUUACCUUGAGGAGGCCGCCAGGGAGUCGAGUUUCAAGCAUGCUGCACGAGUGCGUGUAUAAGCAGUAGUCCCGACAGGGACGAUGGCCCUCCUGUGUGCACACCUGUGUGCCCAUGCAUGUGUGUGUGCAUGGCAGUGCCCGGGGGAUGGAGUGCUCACCUCAGUGUUCAUGCUGUUCACUUUGUCCAAGAGUGCGAUGAUGAGACUGUAGAGGUUCCCCAGGUACAGCACGAGGACCCUGAAAGCCACAAGCCCACUGUGAGAGGCAGGAUCCCCCACAGAAGUCCAGGCGCUACCCCAGGGCUCAGGGGCCGCUGCACGGUCGUGCUGAGACACCGGCCGCCAGCCUCGUUUCCUUCAGAAUCAUAAAAGGGGAAGGCAUUUAAGACAUACAGAAUUCCAGGAUCCAUCCUGCUCCAGUAGCCUGGAGGGGGCCUGGGAAUGUCUCUACAGCCUCUCAGGAGAUUGCAUUGUGGUCCGUCCUCAGACCGGCAUCUGGAAGCCGCCGUGCAGCAGCAAGGGCGAGAGCUUAGGAGGUGGGGCUCGAGGUGCCGUGUAUGUUACCUGUACUUUGUGUCACGUUUUGUGGUUUAUGGAGCGGUUUUCCAGGUGUUUUCUCAUUUGAUUCUCACUGCUCAUGAGGAAUAUGCUACAAUCACCCCCUCUUAAGGGACAAGUCAAAUCAAAACACAGAGAAGGGAAGUGACCCACAGUCAAAAAGAGGCAAGAGACAUGUUCAGGAUCUUGGUGGCCUGGCUCUGAGAACCCAGAUCCGGCAGACAGAGCCUGUCAGAUGCACUGAGGGGCCAAGCAGGAGGGACUGGGGGUACAGCCACAGCGUGUGGGCACCGGAGCAGACGGGAUCCACCGGCAGCCCCCUCGACCAGCCAGUGAUCAAAGACCUGAGGCCAGCUUCCUGAGCUGGAAGGCUUUGGAAACAUCCUGGGAUUUCCCAGGAAGCAGCCUUUAGACUUAGCAGAAAUCUAACUCAUUUUGGAAAAAUGAGAUGAGACAGGAAAACAACAGGCUUACAAAUACCUCCCGGGCAUACAGAUGGGCAUCUUGAGGAUCGGGAAACCAGCACCAGCCCAUGGAAUCAGGAAAGCAGCUUCUGGGCGAGGAGAAGGCUCCCCGUAGAAGCUUUGGGAGGUGCACCUGCCCCACAGGCCCCCUCCUCGGUGCAGAGCUGACGGCCCGGGGCAGGGGCCAGGGGGAGGCCCGGGGCAUCCUGGGAGCUGCACUGGCUCUCCCAGAAGUGGGGCGGGCUGCCUUUUGCCAUCAGCGUAGAGGUUUCAUCCCUACGCUGGCAGGGCCUGGUGUGCCGCAAGGGCCUCGAGGGAGCUCAGGUGCUGGCUCCAGAAGGCCCGAAGGAUUCGGUCCCCCCAGCCAUGCCAUCGCAUGCUGGUUUUCGCCGUGUCCUGGGGGAGGUACCACAGCCUGCUGCAGGUGAGUUCACGGAACUUAGCCAUGUGUCUGGCUCUUAUUACCAGAAUUAGCCCUGACUCGUCCGGGGCAAGUCUGUUGGUGCCUGUUUCUGUGGCAGUGAGCAUGAAUAAUGAGGCCAAUCAGUGUAACAGGAUUGCUGUGAGACAGAAUGCGGCCACAGGGCUGAGUCUCCCCGCCGCCUCCUGGUGAGCACGGGGCUGCGGAAGGCACUUCUCUUCUCCAUCAAGGCCAGAGCAGGUUGCAAAGACCAGGGGCCAGGCCUGCGGGCUGAGAACCUCACCCACAGCUGGACUGGUCCAAGAGCUUCCUGCAAACCCCUGGCUCUUUGGAGCCUGCUUUUUCCGUCUUUGAAAUGAUAACUGGGUUUAAGGAGGUGGCCAGCUCCAGCCUCUAAGCCAGAUCCUGCCCUCACCUAUUUUUGUCAAUAAAGUUGUAAGGAACGUG